rnacentral:rRNA from 1 species
AUUCCAGCUCCAAUAGCGUAUAUUAAAGUUGUUGCAGUUAAAACGCUCGUAGUCGGAUUUCGGGGCCUGCCUGCCGGUCUGCCGAUGGGUAUGCACUGGCAGGCGCGUCCUUCCUUCCGGAGACUGUCCCUACUCUUAACUGAGCGGGGUCGGGAGACGGAUCGUUUACUUUGAAAAAAUCAGAGUGUUUCAAGCAGGCAGCUCGCUCUUGCAUGGAUUAGCAUGGGAUAAUGAAAUAGGACUUUGGUGCUAUUUUGUUGGUUUCGAACACCGAAGUAAUGAUUAACAGGGUCAGUUGGGGGCAUUAGUACUUUGCUGUCAGAGGUGAAAUUCUCGGAUUUGCAAAAGACUAACUUAUGCGAAAGCAUUUGCCAAGGAUGUUUUCAUUG